GGGGGUGAACAGGUCUCGACUUAGGUAAGCCGGGUAAAAGCAGCAUGCCGCGGACGCAGGGUUGGCCGCGUUAACAAUCCUUGCAAAACAUAAACGCAAGAGAGAACUUACGUUCACUCGUAGCAGACAGAUAUGCGGCUGUAAAGCCGAUAAUGCCUGCUAUGGCGUUAAGUCCAGUCGGCCUUUAAGCUGACAGGCCUCUCUUCAGGCUGCCUGUGGCCUGAAUGAGAGCGACUAACAGGCUGGCUUCGGCAGUUAGUCUUUGAAACCGAAGCGAGACUUUUAAAAGGCUGCGGCUUACGCAAUCCUGAUUGCCGGAGUGCGCAAGUUCAAAGUUAAAAGACAACCUAAGCAUGUAGCGGCUUUUAUUCGAUUAUCUAAGGACAGCGGUUCGAUUCCGCUCACCUCCACCA
rnacentral:tmRNA from 1 species